rnacentral:rRNA from 1 species
AGAAGGCCUUCGGGUUGUAAAGUACUUUCAGCAGUGAGGAAGGUGGGGUAUGUUAAUAGCAUAUUCAUUUGACGUUAGCUGCAGAAGAAGCACCGGCUAACUCCGUGCCAGCAGCCGCGGUAAUACGGAGGGUGCGAGCGUUAAUCGGAAUUACUGGGCGUAAAGCGCAUGCAGGUGGUUUGUUAAGUCAGAUGUGAAAGCCCGGGGCUCAACCUCGGAAUUGCAUUUGAAACUAGCAAACUAGAGUACUGUAGAGGGGGUAGGAAUUUCAGGUGUAGCGGUGAAAUGCGUAGAGAUCUGAAGGAAUACCGGUCGGCGAAGGCGGCCCCCCUGGACAGAUACUGACACUCAGAUGCGAAAGCGUGGGGAGCAAACAGGAUUAGAUACCCUCGGUAGG